GACAGAGGGUGCAAACGUUGCUCGGAAUCACUGGGCGUAAAGGGCGUGUAGGCGGGAAGGAAAGUCAGAUGUGAAAUCCCUGGGCUCAACCCAGGAACUGCAUUUGAAACUCCCUUUCUUGAGUACCGGAGAGGAAAGUGGAAUUCCUGGUGUAGAGGUGAAAUUCGUAGAUAUCAGGAGGAACACCAGUGGCGAAGGCGGCUUUCUGGACGGUAACUGACGCUGAGACGCGAAAGCGUGGGGAGCAAACAGG
rnacentral:rRNA from 1 species